rnacentral:rRNA from 1 species
GACAGAGGUGGCGAGCGUUGUUCGGAAUUACUGGGCUUAAAGGGCGAGUAGGCGGUGGGACAAGUCUGAUGUGGAAUCCUAAGGCUUAACCAUAGAACUGCAUUAGAAACUGUUUUACUUGAGUCAGUGAGGGGAGGGCGGAAUUCCUGGUGUAGCGGUGAAAUGCGUAGAUAUCAGGAGGAAGGCCGGUGGCGAAGGCGGCCCUCUGGCACUGUACUGACGCUGAGGCGCGAAAGCGUGGGGAGCAAACAGG